rnacentral:rRNA from 1 species
UGGGGAAUAUUGGACAAUGGGGGGAACCCUGAUCCAGCCAUGCCGCGUGUGUGAAGAAGGCCUUAUGGUUGUAAAGCACUUUAAGCGAGGAGGAGGGUACUGGUAUUAAUACUACCAGGUACUGGACGUUACUCGCAGAAUAAGCACCGGCUAACUCUGUGCCAGCAGCCGCGGUAAUACAGAGGGUGCGAGCGUUAAUCGGAUUUACUGGGCGUAAAGCGUGCGUAGGCGGCUAAUUGAGUCGGAUGUGAAAUCCCCGAGCUUAACUUGGGAAUUGCAAUCGAUACUGGUUAGCUAGAGUGUGGGGGAGGAUGGGAGAAUUCCAGGUGUAGCGGUGAAAUGCGUAGAGAUCUGGAGGAAUACCGAUGGCGAAGGCAGCCAUCUGGCCUAACACUGACGCUGAGGUACGAAAGCAAGGGGAGGAAAAAGG